rnacentral:SRP_RNA from 1 species
UCGUGCUAAAUGGGGAGCUAGCGGUGCCUUGUUGCCUGAAAUCCGCUAAAGCAGGGUUGAAUUCCUGUCGUGAGGCUUAUUCUGGUGAGAAUGAAUUAGAAGAAAGGAUGUUGAUAGAUGGGUUCUAUGCUAUUUUUAAUUGCCCAACCCCGUCAGAUCCGGAAGGAAGCAGCGGUAAGUAGUUAAGGAUAUGUCAUAGAAGUGCCUGUCUGGAGUCUGGACUUAGAAUUAUCACUCGUUAGGGUCUGUCGAAGAUAGGUGCACGG